rnacentral:misc_RNA from 1 species
GGAACAUCCUGAAAUUAAUGGGGCUAGAUUUGCAGCAGGCUUCCUUGAUUCUGGCAUUUUAUUGAGAAGAUACUCAAGUUCCAGAAACUGUAGAAGAGCUUCUGUCUGAGGGUUUUUAUAGAAACCAUGGAAGACACCGUCAGCUACAGGUUGAGAAGGUUUGUAGCAUGGCGCAGUCUGAACAAAUUCAAACGGCUUGGAUCCUCUUGUCUGCAGCUUAUUUCUUACAAACUGGAGGCACUGUUCUGUGCCGAGAUGCACACUAUUAUAGUUCGCAUUCUUGAUUGUCAAGGGGAAGACAGCAUUAUACUUUCUUGUGAUAGCCAACCAUUCUUCAUCAAGUUGAAGUUCAUGUGGUCCUGGUCCGGACUCAAUUUCGAUAACCUGCAAAAAGUUUCUACCAGGGAGGCACUUAUCAAGAGCAAGAAACUUAGUGGAAUGACCAUCCUUCUCAUGCUGAACUAAAGCAGCAAAUUUGCAGUGCAGAUGUGCAGAAAACCAGUAAGACGGCCUCAACUUUCCCAGUAAUUCUGCAGCAGGUUUGCUUCCCAGAGUUCCUUCCUGAAUCUCUUGCUCAAAGAAAGGUUUUUGACGAAGAAGAGCUUUCAAGUCCCCACAGGCGGUGAUGCCAACAGGCCAGUCAUGUGAAAGAAAGAUAUCAAUUGGUUCCUCAAUUUGCAAGAGCUUGUGGACAUCAUACUCGCGAACGUGAUAUAUCGAUCGAAUAUCCUGUUCACUAUAAGGUAGCUUCUCAUAGUGCCCCAUAUUGUAAUGGUGUGAUUUAUAAAUUCCAGAAAGGCCACCAAUUCGAAUGUUGCCAAACUUUAUUACUCCAGCAAAUCCAAGGAAGUAUAUCUGAGGUGCUGCCCAUCCUCCAUAGUACAGUUCCCAAAGGUAAUUGGAUGCUUCGUGGUUUCCUCCAAUAAAUAUAGUUGGAAACGGUGCUACUUUCUCUCCAGAGUAAUACUUCCAGAAAGAGUUCAUGCUCCGGAAUUUAGGUGGCACAUUUAAGCUUUCCAGAUCCUUCUCAUUCCUAACAGCCUGAAAGUCGCCGCAGCAUAAAAGGAGAUCAAUCUUUAUAUUUUGAACUUCUUGCAAAUGCAAUAAGGUGGCAUAAACAUUAUCCAAGUCUCCGUGCAUACACCCUUCUACAGCUAUCCUCAUCUUUUCCGGAGCAGCAAAGUGGGACGAACGAGUUGAAGAGCAAUGACUUCACCGGAUUCCAACGAGCAGGAAAACAACAAACAAAACGUUCAACUAUAAUUUUAGGAAUUCAGAUAGGUUUGAUUUCUUUGAGUUGCAAAAUUGUGUUCUUAA